rnacentral:rRNA from 1 species
UGUAAGCGUAUACCAAAGUUGUUGCAGUUAAAACGCUCGUAGUCGGACUUUGGCAGUUCCGGAUGUGUGCACGUCGUGUGCGCACUUCGCGGGGAUUGCUUUUGUGGUCUUGCGUAGGAUGAGGCACUUUUAUUAGUGAACGUCCUCACGCAACCACUUUUUACUGUGAGAAAAUCAGAGUGCUCAAAGCAGGCAUUUGCCGUGAAUGUAUUAGCAUGGAAUAAUAGAAUAGGACUUGGUUCUAUUUUGUUGGUUUGUUGGGACUGAGUAAUGAUUAAGAGGGACAGUUGGGGGCAUUUGUAUUUCGGUGCUAGAGGUGAAAUUCUUAGAUUACCGAAAGACAAACUGCUGCGAAAGCGUCUGCCAAGGACGUUUUCAUUGA